rnacentral:tRNA from 1 species
UCCAGUGGCUCAGUGGUAAAGAAUCUGCCUGCAAUGCAGGAGACACAGGUUCGAUCCCUGGGUCUGGA